AACGAACGCUGGCGGCAGGCUUAACACAUGCAAGUCGAGCGCCCCGCAAGGGGAGCGGCAGACGGGUGAGUAACGCGUGGGAAUCUACCCAUCUCUACGGAAUAACGCAUGGAAACGUGUGCUAAUACCGUAUACGUCCUUCGGGAGAAAGAUUUAUCGGAGAUGGAUGAGUCCGCGUUGGAUUAGCUAGUUGGUGGGGUAAAGGCCUACCAAGGCGACGAUCCAUAGCUGGUCUGAGAGGAUGAUCAGCCACACUGGGGCUGUGACACGGCCCAGACUCCUGCGGGAGGCAGCAGUGUGGAAUAUUGGACAAUGGGCGCAAGCCUGAUCCAGCCAUGCCGCGUGAGUGAUGAAGGCCCUAGGGUUGUAAAGCUCUUUCACCGGUGAAGAUAAUGACGGUAACCGGAGAAGAAGCCCCGGCUAACUUCGUGCCAGCCGCCGCAGUAACAC
rnacentral:rRNA from 1 species